CUACGGGUGGCUGCAGCUAAGAAUCUUCCGCAAUGGGCGAAAGCCUGACGGAGCGACGCCGCGUGAACGAAGAAGGCCGAGAGGUUGUAAAGUUCUUUUCUCUGGGAGGAAUAAGCAUGGCAGGGAAUGGCCGUGUGAUGACGUUAACAGAGGAAUAAGCCCCGGCUAAUUACGUGCCAGCAGCCGCGGUAACACGUAAGGGGCGAGCGUUGUUCGGAAUCAUUGGGCGUAAAGGGUGCGCAGGCGGUUAUUCAAGCUUGAUGUAAAAGAUCCCGGCUUAACUGGGGGAAUGCGUUGAGAACUGGAUGACUGGAGUAUAAGAGGGGAAGUUGGAAUUCCAGGUGUAGGGGUGAAAUCUGUAGAUAUCUGGAAGAACACCGGUGGCGAAGGCGAACUUCUGGCUAUAUACUGACGCUGAGGCACGAAAGCGUGGGGAGCGAACAGGAUUAGAUACCCCAGUAGUC
rnacentral:rRNA from 1 species